AGAGUUUGAUCCUGGCUCAGAACGAACGUUGGCGGCGUGGAUAAGGCAUGCAAGUCGCGCGCGAAAGCACCCUUCGGGGUGUGAGUAAAGCGGCGGACGGGUGAGUAACACGUAAUCAAGCUGCCCUCGAGACAGGGAUAACAGCGGGAAACUGCUGCUAAUACCUGAUGGUCCCAGCGGAUCGCAUGAUCUGCUGGGUAAAGAUGGGGAUCCUUCGGGACCCGUCACUCGGGGAGGCGAUUGCGGCUUAUCAGCUUGUUGGUGAGGUAAUGGCUCACCAAGGCUACGACGGGUAGCAGGCCUGAGAGGGUGGUCUGUCACACUGGGACUGAGACACUGCCCAGACUCCUACGGGAGGCUGCAGUCGAGAAUCUUCCGCAAUGGACGAAAGUCUGACGGAGCGACGCCGCGUGGAGGACGAAGGCAUUAGUGUUGUAAACUCCUGUCACAGAUUAUGAAGGCGUAGUAGUUAAUACCUGCUGCGUUGACGUAAGUCUGAAAGGAAGCACCGGCUAACUCUGUGCCAGCAGCCGCGGUAAUACAGAGGGUGCAAACGUUGUUCGGAAUCACUGGGCAUAAAGCGCGCGUAGGCGGCCUAUUAAGUGUGGAGUGAAAUCCCACGGCUCACCCGUGGAACUGCUCUGCAUACUGGUAGGCUCGAGGACGGUAGGGGAGAGCGGAACUCUAGGUGGAGCGGUGAAAUGCGUAGAUAUCA
rnacentral:rRNA from 1 species